AGAUGCUGAUAUUACUACUCACCUAAUUAAUCUCUUCUCUUUACAAUAUUCUGCUUAUAAAUACCCACUUAUCAUCCAUCUUCUCUUCACUCCGAUAUCAGUUUUUGCACCACAAAAUUAAUAUCUCAGUUAAUCCUCAGACAUACUAGUCCUUGAUGACCGGGAAUGAUUCGUCCCGCAAUAAAUCAGCAGGGAAACUACUCUCGCUUGGAAAAACAGUGGGAACCAUUAUUAGUAUUACUAAACAGUGGUCUUCUAACUCUUCGGAGUAUCAUAUAUCUUUCUGUUAAAGUCUACGGACAUCCAACUCAAAACUAAUUGGAAAUGAGAAAAUGGCCCUUUCAUAUUAUAAUUUAGCUUCAUUAUGUGGCGUGGGAUUAUUUUCUUUUCACACUUUCAAAGCUAACAGUUUAGUGGCUUAAAAUUAAAUUAAUUUCCAUUUUUUUAAAGUUUUAUCUUUUUGAAAUGCAUGCAUUGGGUCUUACUUUCAGCUCCAUGACUGCUGCAGGAAACGAUUAUUUUAAAUGAUAUUUAGAUGAAUGCUUGCUAUAUCCAACGCCGAAAUUUUCGACUCUCCAUAAUAUGGGUCAUGUAAAUUCAAGGGGAAACGGUGAAAAAAAACCUGUUCCACUGCUCGGAAGACUAUUGUUUAAGUUGUGGAUGUGAUCGUAGACAGCUGAAGAAGAAGCUCUAAAAAUUUAUAAUAUCUACUCAUCCCAACUGAUAAAGCUAAAGAGAUUCUUUGUCAUUCUGCUUCCCCUUACUGGCCUAUUAAAAAAUCAGCUUAUGAAUUGUGCACGUCUAAGGCUAGUAUAGAUAUUCGUAGGACUUACAUAUUUGUAGGACUUACCGUUUAUGAUGUUAGACAUGCUUCAGCCGGGAUGACUAGAUAUUAUAUAUUUUUAUGGAGCUACUAAGAUUAAUAUGUGUUUGAGCGAGGCGCUCGCCUACUCGGGCAAAUUAUGGUAAACUAGUCGCCUUGAUUGGAGGUUCAAAAAAUUCGACAAACUCAAUUUUCUCUUCUUUUUUUUUUAAGCAUAUUCUACUCUUAAAUACAACACAACUACUCCCGUGAGUUUUGGACCUGUAAAAAGAUAUCUCUAUUAACAAAGUGAAAAUUAUUAUGAUUUUUGUUUUCA